UUGUUUAUAUUUAGGAUGCCUCUAAGUGAAAGUGUGAAUGCCAUGUGUAUAGUUAAUCUACAAUAAUAGGAAUAUAAUAUAAGCGGAUGACUUAUGAUGAUAUUCACAACUGACUAGGAUUUUUAUCUAAUUGUGUCUCCCACUAUUUUAUUGAACUUCAUAGCCCUCAAAUAUGAAAAUCGAGAAACAUACUAAUGUUU
rnacentral:lncRNA from 1 species